rnacentral:rRNA from 1 species
GACGAACGCUGGCGGCGUGCUUAACACAUGCAAGUCGAACGGAAAGGCCCUGCUUGCAGGGUACUCGAGUGGCGAACGGGUGAGUAACACGUGGGAGAUCUCCUCUGCACUUCGGGAUAAGCCUGGGAAACUGGGUCUAUUACCGGAUAGGAGCCAUUUUUAGUGUGAUGGUUGGAAAGACUUUUCGGUGUAGGAUGAGCUCGCGGCCUAUCAGCUUGUUGGUGGGGUAAUGGCCUACCAAGGCGGCGACGGGUAGCUGGCCUGAGAGGGUGGACGGCCACAUUGGGACUGAGGGACGGCCCAGGCUCCGACGGGAGGCAGCAGGGGGGAAUAUUGCACAAUGGGCGCAAGGCUGGUGCAGCGACGCCGCGUGGGGGAUGGCGGCCUUCGGGGUGUGAACUCCUUUCGCUAGGGACGAAGCUUUUUGUGACGGUACCUAGAUAAGAAGCACCGGCUAACUACGUG